ensembl:Mt_tRNA
CAAGAAGUAGUUCAACUAGAAUUUCAGCUUUGGGUGCUGAAGGUGGGGGAUAGUCCUUCCUUCUUGA